rnacentral:tRNA from 1 species
UGCCCCCUCGUCUAACGGCAAGACACCGGCCUUUGGCGCCGAGGAUCGGGGUUCGAUUCCCUGGGGGGCAGCCA